rnacentral:rRNA from 1 species
UACGUAGGGGGCAAGCGUUGUCCGGAAUCAUUGGGCGUAAAGAGCGUGUAGGCGGCCCGAUAAGUCCGCUGUGAAAGUCCAGGGCUCAACCCUGGAAAGCCGGUGGAUACUGUCGGGCUAGAGUCCGGAAGAGGCGAGUGGAAUUCCUGGUGUAGCGGUGAAAUGCGCAGAUAUCAGGAGGAGCACCGAUAGCGAAGGCAGCUCGCUGGGACGGAACUGACGCUGAGACGCGAAAGCGUGGGGAGCGAACAGG